rnacentral:rRNA from 1 species
UGGGGAAUUUUGGACAAUGGGGGCAACCCUGAUCCAGCAAUGCCGCGUGAGUGAAGAAGGCCUUCGGGUUGUAAAGCUCUUUUGUCAGGGAAGAAACGGUAGUAGCGAAUAACUAUUACUAAUGACGGUACCUGAAGAAUAAGCACCGGCUAACUACGUGCCAGCAGCCGCGGUAAUACGUAGGGUGCAAGCGUUAAUCGGAAUUACUGGGCGUAAAGCGUGCGCAGGCGGUUGUGUAAGUCAGAUGUGAAAUCCCCGGGCUCAACCUGGGAAUUGCAUUUGAGACUGCACGGCUAGAGUGUGUCAGAGGGGGGUAGAAUUCCACGUGUAGCAGUGAAAUGCGUAGAUAUGUGGAGGAAUACCGAUGGCGAAGGCAGCCCCCUGGGAUAACACUGACGCUCAUGCACGAAAGCGUGGGGAGCAAACGGGAUUAGAUACCCCCGUAGUCCCUGAGCGGGCUGGCAAGGCGCAU